AGCUAUUUUUAAUGAACAACUCACAGGGAAACAGAAUAAGCAUAAACGCUAUUUAUGCCACGUUACUUUCGCGGACUUCGUAUUAUUUUCCCUCCGUUAACUUUCUUGCACCACCCACCAGCAAUGCGCACAACAACGCCUUUCUAUAGAAUACGUCGGACUAAAUAGCACUCUAUGUAGUUGUGGAGUGCAGUAAACAAGAUUUCCUUUCUGUACCAUUGUUACCUUAAUACACACGUGUUUGUGUGUAUGGCACGUUUUUGUAAUAAUUGGGUACAUAAAUUAUGCAAAGUAUAAAGUUUCACUCUAAACAAGACACAUCCGAAGUGAAGAUCGUCACUGUUGCGUUCGGUGCUUUGUAAACUUCUCCUGUGUACUUACUUAUUCAAGUUUAUACGCCGAAGACAUAACCAUAAACAGCGAGUUGGAACAUGCCGACACACGCGCGCGUGUACGUGCGCAUGCGUACACGCACGCACACCGUGUUUGAGGUAGUGAGACUUUCCCAGACUUCUGCUCUAUCUGUAUCAGCGCUUCUGCUUGUUUUCCUCAUGUCAGAAUAGAUAAGGAAUCGGCUGAAAAAGCAGAAAUGAAACCUCAAACCAUAAACAAAGAAAAGUCCUAGUGUGAAAAGCUUAAUGCUUUGUCAUCCCCUUAAUUCAAUGAGAAGAACAUGACAUGAGUUAAAGUUUUUUUCUUCUUCCACUGUGUUAAAUUGAUGGAUAGAUGAACUACUGUUGGAUUUUUGUGUGUAUUCCCUAAAAUAAGUACAAGGGGAAAAAAAAAGGUAGUCAGUUUAAUCGUUAAAGUAAUUUGAAAUAAAUGUUUCCUGGCCCCAGCUUCCUUUCUAGUUCCAGUUGUGAAUACUUUUGGGUUUUGGAUGCUGUAACCCUGCACUCUAGCAAACAGUGGUGGAUAAGUUUCUGACAUUUUAUAGAAUAAAUGAUUAAUCAAGAAAAUAAUCAUCAAGUCAGUUGAUAAUUAAAGUUCUUGCUAGUUGCAGCCCUAAUGAGGUAGCUGUAAAAUCAUAUAUUUGUUAUAUGUAACUUUCUUACAGUUUUUACAUAGGUCUGAUAUAUAGCAAAUCUUCUCCUGACUUUGCUGGUCAGUUUCCCCUACCAGAGUGCAGCAUCCUCAGUGGACCUCCAAAGAACCAACAGUUAGUUCUCCGUUAAUUAAUGAUGGGCUUAUGUUAUCACUCCUGUUGUUGGGGGAAAUCUAUACUAAGGGUGGUUGAACACAGAAUUAGUCAAUUAGAUUGCUAAUUAAUAGCAAGCAUUUUUUAUCAUCGACCCCGGCUGCCAGCGCAGAGCAUGAGGGUCAAUUGCUGUUAGGACUAGUCAGUAAACAGGGAAGCUGGAGAGGACUGAACUCCCCUUGGUCUGCAGUGCAUUCUAAUUUAAUCUAUUCUGAUUAGCCACAGCCACAAAACCUAACAUCAACCAGUUAAUUACCCGUAAGAAUUUCUCGUGUAUCGCUGAUGGGUGGGACAGUAAGGACUGCAUGCAAUGGAAGUGGACAUGUCUUUUCUGUUUUUGUUUCAAGCUGUUUUUGUUUUGUUUUUUGUUUUUUUUUUUGGCUAGAGUGAACCAGGUAACUUCCAGUUUCGGUUGGUCUGGCUUGAUGGAGUACAAAUUUUAGUAUGCUUUCCUCUCCUCUCUGCAUUGGCAGAGCUUUAAGGCCCAAAUCCCCUUUUCUGCUUCUCUCCUUCCUUACAUACAAAUGAGUCUUCUUUCAUUUGAACUCAUAUGUUAGAAUUACUGCUGGGGACGUCCACUUUAUCUUCUUAUGGGUAACUGGCAGUAGAUUUGUUUUGUUAAAUCUCAAACACAUCUUUAAAGUUUAUUUCCUGACAGUGUAAUACCUCUAAGUGCUGUGAAAUCACUUGCUGUGCAGCAGUGCGGGGCAUGCAAGACAAUGCUACAAAUGUCACAGAGGCUUUGAACUGACAGUGAAACAAGGUAGACUAAGAAACAGGUUGACAUCUUGAAUGUGCAUGGAUCUGGUUGGGGCUGUUUUCCUGGAUGUCUGAAGUCGGUUUAUUCUGACUGUUCACAGCUGUGACAGGCACGCAAACAGACAUAACGGCAGGGCCAGAGUGCAACAAAAGAGGUUCCCUGCAAAACAUUUCCAUGAUCUGUAAAAUAUUAACUCUCGGAUUUACCCGCUGAACUGUACAAAUCAUGUACCAAGUGGUGCCGGGAGGAGCUGGGGGAACAAUUACAGAUGUUAUCCCCAAGCAGAAACACAGCAAGGACACUCGACCCUUAGUCGGAGCUGGAGUAAUCGGCCUGGUGCUGGUGAUUGCAGCAGUGACUGCGUGGUGUUAUUACAUAGCCUCUCUACGCAAAGCUGAGCUGCUUAAGACUCAGCUCCUGGAUCUGAAUAAAGAUGGCUACAUUAUCCGCAACCAGGGAGGCUCUAUUGUUUUCAGAAUGGAUUUCAGGUCAGGGACCCUGGAUUUGGAUUCCUGCUCUAAAGAAGGAGAGAUUCUGAGCUGUGGACGCACCACUGAUAAUAGAAGACUUAACUUCUUCAUUGAGACAGUACGACCUAAGGACACGGUGCAGUGCUACCGUGUGCGUUGGGAAGAACUGGUUCCUGACAUUCCUGUUGAGCAUGCCAUGACAUACAAGUUUGCACAUUGGUAUGGUGGUGCGGUGUCAGCAAUUCAGCACUGGCCUAUUUCUAUUUCUGGCCAACAGGCUCCCAAACCCUUUGUUACUAGUGACAUCUACUCGAACCGCAAUGAAUUUGGUGGAAUUCUGGAGAGUUAUUGGCUUUCAUCCAAUGCUACAGCUAUCAAGAUCAAUAAUUCUGUUCCCUUCCAUCUGGGCUGGAAUGACACAGAGAAGACCAUGUACUUCCAGGCGCGAUACAAUGACAGUCCCUUCAAGCCAAACCCAGGGGAGGCUCCAUGUGCUGAACUUAGCUACAGAGUUUGCGUUGGCUUGGAUGUAACAUCCAUACACAAAUACAUGGUCCGCAGAUACUUCAACAAACCAAACAAAGUGCCGGCCAAAGCCAUGUUUCGCCAUCCUAUUUGGUCGACGUGGGCACUACAUAAGACUGACAUUGACCAAGAGAAACUCCUGGCAUAUGCUGCCAGCAUCCGCAAGCAUAACUUCAACUGUAGUCACCUGGAACUAGAUGACCGCUACACCAGCCGCUACGGGGAAUUUGAAUUUGACCCAACAAAGUUCCCCAAUGCCUCGGCUAUGUUCCAAAAGCUGAAAUCAGAUGGAUUUCUGGUGUCACUCUGGAUUCACCCUUUUGUUAACUAUGACUCAGAAAACUUCCAUACUUGUGUGGAGAGGGGCUUGUUUGUCAGGGAGCCUACAGGACGGCUACCAGCAUUGGUGCGCUGGUGGAAUGGCAUUGGCGGCAUUUUGGAUUUCACAAAUCCAGAGGCCCGUGAUUGGUUUUCCUCCCAGCUACGUUCACUGCGCUCCAGGUAUGGGGUGUCAUCUUUUAAAUUUGAUGCAGGAGAGACCAACUACUUACCAUGGAAAUUUAGCACAAGAACUCCCAUUCGAGACCCAAGUUUUUUCACAAGACGCUACACGGAAAUGGCUAUUCCCUACAAUGAUAGAGCUGAGCUGCGUAGUGGCUACCAGUCCCAGAACAUAUCCUGCUUCUUCAGACCAAUUGAUAGAGACUCUGUGUGGGGCUAUGAGUUGGGUCUCAAAUCUCUUAUCCCCACAGUGCUCACCAUUAGCAUUCUUGGCUAUCAGUUCAUUCUACCUGACAUGAUCGGAGGGAAUGCCUAUCUGAACCGCACAGAUGGAAAUCGUGCAUUACCCGAUCGGGAACUCUAUAUCCGCUGGCUGGAGCUGUCAGCCUUCAUGCCCUCCAUGCAGUUUUCUAUUCCGCCGUGGGAAUACGACAAUGAGGUGGUUGAAAUUGCUCGGAAAUACACAGCUCUUCACGAGAGUAUUGUGGCGCCACGGGUCCUAGAGCUGGCUGGCGAGGUGCUGGACACCGGGGACCCAAUCAUACGGCCCCUGUGGUGGAUUGCCACAGGUGAUGAGACAGCCUAUAAAAUCGACUCCCAGUUCCUGAUUGGGGAUGACCUCAUGGUAGCCCCAGUUUUAGAGCCUGGAAAGCAAGAACGUGACAUCUACCUCCCUGCUGGCCGUUGGAGAAGCUACAAGGGGGAGAGAUUUGAUAUCAAGGAGCCACUACACCUCACAGACUAUCCUGUAGACCUGGAUGAAAUUGCUUACUUUGUUUGGGUGUAGCAGCAGGGGAAUUUAAAUUUGAAGAGACAGAUGUGAUUAAUCCAUGCCCCAGUCAAGCUUUGUGCAUCUAGCUUUUAUGCUUGAGACACAGGAUGGAAAUGAAAAAAAAACAUUUUUUAUGGAAAAGCUUUCCUCAAACAAAAUAUGAUUUUUUUUAAAGAAAUGUCAAUUUUAACACCAUGUUAAAUUACAAAUGUGAAUUCUGAAAACCUUAUCUUAAUUUGUAAUUAUUUCAUUUAAACUAAUGAAUACAACAUCAUGUGUUUUUUGUGGUCUAAUAGAAAGAUAGCUAAGCAGUAUCCUUUAAAGCAAAACUAACCCUUGUGGCAUACAGUAAGUGACAAUUACAGGUUAAUGAUAAAUGGUAAUAUAUAUAUGGUCAUAGUUGACAAACUGACCAACAGUUACACAGCAAUAUCUGUCUAAAGUUGGCUAAUAUUAGGUUGCAUUAGCCAUGAUAAGCUACUGGUCAUACCAGACCAAAUAAGACUAACAGCAAAACCCCAGCGUGUAUUAAAGUGAGUGAGGGUGUUUUUAAUGCUUAUGAAUUCAGCAUUUCAUUUGUACAGCGAAUAAUGUGUUAUUUAAUCUUUCGAAGUUGACAGUCUCAUUUUAAAGGCUGUACAAGUCACAUCUGUGAAGUAUUUGUCAAAAAGGGAAUAUGCAAACUGUGAACUGAUUAAGGCAUGAUUGCCAUGGUCGGCCAUAAAGUUGUUUUUGUAUAUCACAGUACUUUGAGCUUGCCAUAAGCCAAACAAAUUGUAUGAUGGGAAGUUGACAGAAGGGGAGUCGUUAUUGUCAUAAGACGGAUAGUAGGCUACAUGAAACCUAUAUCUAUAAAAUUCUCAGUUUGACUGAGACAUCCUAGUUUUCCUUUGACACUAAUGACUCUUCUGCUCCAAGAUACUUCUCAGGAAGUAAGGUUUUAUACUUCACUUAUUGGGAUGAAUGUUUGAAGUUUAAUCAUUACAAAUCGCAUGUGCGCUCAUUUGUGUAACACAGUGCCAUGUAACUUCUCUUAGCCCAGGAGAAGAUGCCUUUUAUUAGGAGCUAAAUAUUUUAUGCUCUUCCUCAGGUAACAGUUUUCUCAGGCUGUGGUGUGUUUGAAGUGUCUGCUAACUAUCUUUAAUGUGCUUCAUUUACUCUGAAUGCAGCUAGUGAUACUAUAAUACAGUACCUACCACAUCCAAGAUAAUGAGCGUCUCUUUUGUAAGAUGUUUUGAUUUUUGGAAUUCUGAAACACAACAACCUAAAUAAUAAAGGUUUGGUUUCCUUAUACCCACUGUGUAUGCAGUGUGGAAGUCCAUAGAUAUAGUGACUUUCAAGAAAUAACCAUCACAUUAAAUGGUACAGUGUGUUUUGUCACCUUGCGUUUUGUUAAUGUGAAUAUUUUGUAACUGCAGUGAUGCCUCCAAUGCUAUGUGUAAAUAAUUGCUGCCGUAUAAUAUCUAUGAUUUGUUGUUUGCUAUACAUUUAUUAUUAUAUUGUUACUUAUUGUACAUUUAAUAUGAAAUAUUUCUGGUGAGCUAACCCUUAUGGGCAAUAGCCUGGUCAACAGUGUGCUACAGAACCUUAUCUCCUAACCUCCUUCCACUAUGUACCUGCAAACGUCUAAAAAACAUUUCAUAUUUAGAGAGCAAGUGCAUCGGUAUCACGGUAUCUAGAGACGAAACUGAUGCUGAUACUUUCAUUAAACUCGGGGUAAGGAAGCAAGGAUGAUAUAAUCAUUGUCAUCAGCAUUUUAUUUUUACAGAAUCCCAGACCUCACUUGAAAAUUAUUGUUUAAUUAUGCCCAUUUUCGACUUCUGGUAGUUUGAGUUUUCAAGCUGCAAUGACAAAAUAUUGUUUCUGUGUGAAGUAAGGAAAUAUCCACAUUCUUAUGAUGCAAUUUUCCCAUUUGGCAAUAUUUGCUUGUUUUUGUGUUUUAAUGCUGUCUGCCUUUCACACAUUAUCCAGCCCCAUGCUCACUCUGUGUGCUUUGACAUGUGGUUUACAUGUUGACCUUGGUGGAUUUUGUUGGUGCCUUUUGACGUAGUUUCAUCAUAACAACACUACCUAUUUAUAGCAGUUCUCACUCAGCAUCUGGGCCAGGCCAAUCUCUAAGGCUAUUCCUGUCUCAGACUGUCUUGCUUUAUGACAAGACUGAGAGGCUGAAUCUUGGACUGAAUGUCUCCUUGCUUGUGGCUCUUGUGACCCAGUCUGUCCUGUUUGCCUCAGGUUACUUAUAUAAAGGUUGGCAACAUUUGCAUGUGACUGAAGGGCAGCAUUAAUUUCUGCAAAAGUACAUAUUUGAUGUCCUUUUGUAUGAAAGUAUUAAAAGAAUUUAAG